rnacentral:rRNA from 1 species
UACGUAGGGUGCAAGCGUUGUCCGGAAUUAUUGGGCGUAAAGAGCUCGUAGGCGGUCUGUCGCGUCGGCUGUGAAAAACCCGGGGCUCAACCCCCGGGCCUGCAGUCGAUACGGGCAGACUAGAGUGCGGUAGGGGAGACUGGAAUUCCUGGUGUAGCGGUGAAAUGCGCAGAUAUCAGGAGGAACACCGGUGGCGAAGGCGGGUCUCUGGGCCGUAACUGACGCUGAGGAGCGAAAGCGUGGGGGAGCGAACAGG